ACCGUACUGUGUUAGGGCUCGGACGCGAA
rnacentral:sRNA from 1 species